GUUCCAGUUGUGAUAGGAGCACUCGGGGCUGUGACUCCCAAGUUGGGAGAGUGGCUUCAACUAAUUCCAUCAUAUAUAUGCUACUUUUCUACUUUUCAUAUGUUCUCGCUCUAAAAUGUUGUGCGAAGGAAAUUGACUAUGUGUAACAUAUUUAUCCUCACCUUGUGGUAUCUGCAGUAAUUGCCUCCCUAACAAUAAUGGAAGUGCCACUCAGC